rnacentral:lncRNA from 1 species
CUGCGUCGGGGCAGCGCACGGCGGAGGCGUCGACGUCGGCCCGCGACACCAAGGCAGUGUCGGGCUCGUUGGCGAUGGCCUGGUCGCCCGCAGAACUCACCCACGCCACGAUUUCGAUACCGUACUGCGAUGGAGCGUGCGCGCGCGGUUAUAUUAGGCGCAGACAAAUCACGACACGCACAUGUGCACAAUGCAGCCACGCGCGCAGCGAAAAAAGCGCACAAAGCGCCCAGCGAAAAGACCGGUACAUGCAGACACGACAACUACUAUGCAGAGACGGCAGCGACAACAGCGACAGAAAGCAGGCACGCACGGCGCACCUUGAGACCGAGCCAUUUCUCGGCGACCGCGCCGGCGGCGACGCGCAUGAGGGUCUCGCGGGCAGACGACCGGCCUCCGCCCGACGACGCCUUGAUGCCGUACUUGGCCAUGUAGGUGUAGUCGGCGUGUGAGGGCCGCGGCACCUUGCACAUGUCGGAAUAGUCGACGGGCCGCUGGUCGCGGUUGGCCACAAAGAGGCCGACGGGCGAGCCGAGCGUGAGGCCGUUCUCCGUGCCCGACUGGAUGAUGACGCGAUCGGGCUCGUUGCGCGGCGUGGAAAGUGCGCCCUGGCCCGGUCGGCGCCGAUCCAACUGAGGCUGGAUGUCGGCCUCGGCCAGUGGCAUGCACGGCGGCACGCCGUCGAUGAUGCAGCCGACGCCCGCCCCGUGCGACUCGCCAAAGGUGGUGACCCUAAAUACCUUGCCGAAUGUGCUCAUGUCCGUCGGCAAAGCAAAACAAGACAAAAAAGAGAAAACGCAAAGCGUCGCUGUCGUCGUUGUGUCCAAAAAUAACAAUAACAAAAAGAAAGAUGCC